UGGUGGAGGCGAUCUUGUC
rnacentral:misc_RNA from 1 species